UCUGGCCUCAAAUCAGGUAGGACUACCCGCUGA
rnacentral:rRNA from 1 species